rnacentral:lncRNA from 1 species
GGAAAGUCAGUCUAUGAUAAAAGCUCCCAUUUAUCACAGGCCUCCUAUGAGUUAAGUACUGUUUAUUUGCUAUUUCUAACGCAUAUUGCAACUUACAAGGCAGUCCUGUUCUCCUUCACAAAUGAAGCAUCCACAGCACAAUUGGUGACUUCACAAAGGUCCCAUGGCUCCUAGGUGGGAAGCCGCCAGAAGGCAGAUCUGAUUCUAAAGCUGCUGUCUGCAUGCCAGGCUAGUACAGCUCUCAAUCUGGGAUCAGGAAAGAGAGGUACCACAUGUGGUCAAGGAGCUCCCACAUCCCCAGGAGUCCAAGGGUUGCCAUUCUUCCUCCUUCUGUCUCUGUGAUGUCACCACUACAAUGUUGUCAUAUUGUGAACUGUUCUGGUAAGUUACAAAUUUUUCCACAGAAAAGAAGAGAAAGGGCUACCCAAAAAAUGGGAGAGGAAAAACUAAUCGACCUUGGAUGGGGGUAUCCUAACCCAGCGGUGGCCUUAGUCACGUCAUACUUCUGCUUCGCAACUGAUCCCAGAUACAGACACAGUCUAAUUGAAAAGAAGGAGUUAUCUGGUUGUGAGGUGUAUUAACUUCUUAGGUGAAGUAAAAUGCUUUGAAACAAGGUCUGCUGGUGGAAAUAAAUGAAAGGAGGAGAAAUCCUGUGUGUGACAGCACAAAUGCAAAAAUAAAACCAAAAACAACAAUAAGAAAGCAGAAGUGGAAGGAAAAGAAUCUUAGCUUGAGUCAACCAACUUGUUACCAGAAUUCAGUUAUUAAAAAUCUCUAUAGUGGAUGUUAGCAGAGCUCAAAUCCUUAUGAACCCAAACUCCCAAGCCACUGGAUCCGGUGAGAUGGCUGGAACUCAGCAGGGUCAGCAUGAGGAACACCGCGAGGACUGCUGAAACACCACAUUCCCAUGGCUGCCGCAGGACAGCGGGGUGGCUGGAAGGCACAGUGUCUGUGAAACUGUGGUCCUCGGCAAGGGGUGUGACCUCAUGGUGGGUCGCCUGACCUAUGAGCAGAGAUGGAAGGAAGAAUGCCAAUUUGGAGGCAGAUGUGGGAAGUAGGAGUGCUGUGGCAACACGGUGUGGAAAUAGGGAGUUCUCUUCAGGCGUGAUGCUCACAGUUUACAUAAAUCUAUUGAUCUAUGUAUUUACCUGCCUACCUCUAUGUGUGCGUUUGUCUGGGUGUGGGGUGGAGCAGUGUGAGGUGGGUUCAGGAACCGUGUUUGUGAGGGCUGUCUGGGGAGACAGAACCAAUAGGAGCUAUAUCUGUACUGAUAUUGGUAUCUCUACUGAUAUAGAUAGAUGAGAGGGGAUGUAUUAGGGGAAUUGGCUCACACGACCUUGGUGACUGAGAAGUCCCACCACAGUCCAUCUGCAAGCUGGAGACCCUGGGACGCAGGUAGUGUGGCUUCACAGCAAGUUCAAAGACCUCAGAAUCAAGGGAGCGUAUCUGCCCUAAGGAUGAGAUCGGGAAAAAGCCUGCAAGCAUGUGUUUGAAAGGAGGUGAGAGAGGAAGAUCAAGAAGGGUUUUCCCAAGUUACGGUUGCAACGCAAGAAAGGGAAAGGUGAGAAGAGGGACCCGAGCCCAGGCCUUGGGAGGAAGAGGAGGAAGAAGAGGGGUGUGGGCCCGACCCCGAGAGCAGACCAGGGCUGCGGUCAGAGCUGGUCGCCAGAUGAGGACGCCUGGGCAGCUGGCCUGUGCCUGAGCAGAGGUGGCUGAGGUCCAGGAGGCAGAGAAGAAGAAAUGGAGCCUCGCACCGCUGCUCCUAGCUUGCCCAGAGGGAGAAGGGUGAUGGGGCUGUUCCUAUGCACUCAGGACCGUGGCUCUUGAACUUUAUGUGUCGGGAAGGAGGCAAGGGCUGAACUGGAGAGUGGGCCAUUCAUUUAGUUCCAGCGUCCCAGGAAAUGCUCUUUUCCCCGCGGGAGCCUCUGCCUGCAGCUGUAAUGACCUUGGACUAGAAGGUCAAACUCCAAAGGCUUGAAACCGCACCUGCAGCAGGACUGGCCACCUACGUUGUGGGGUAUCUUUAAAAUAAAAUGCUGCACUGUCCUGCAACUGUCAGUCUGAAGCAGAAGUCCUGAGUGCCCAGGGGCAACUGGUGUAAGUCCUGGAGUUUGAAGGUCAUAGAGCCUGGAGUCCAACCGCAGGAGGAGAAGAGUGUCCCUGCUCCAGGAGAGAGAGAGAGAAAAAAAAAAAUCUCUUUUUGUGUAUGUGCUGUUGUUGCCUUUUUUGUUCUUAUCUGUGCCCCCAGCCAUUUGGAUGAUGCCCCCACAUUGAGGACAGGUCUUCCCCACUCAGUUUACUGACACAC